GACGAACGCUGGCGGCGUGCUUAACACAUGCAAGUCGAACGGAAAGACCCUGCUUUUGCGGGGCUCUCGAGUGGCGAACGGGUGAGUAACACAUGAGUAUCCCGCCCUUGACUUUGGGAUAUCUUCAGGAAACUGCGGCUAAUACCGGAUAGAAGCUCCUGAUGCACGGGGGGGGUUGGAAAGUUUCGGCCGUUGUGGAUGGACUCGCGGCUUACCAGCUUGUUGGGGGGGUAGUGGCUUACCCAGUUUUUGAAUGGUAGCCGGCCUGAGAGGGUGGCCGGCGACCUUGGGACUGCGGUACGGCCCAGUCUCCUACGGGAGGCAGCAGUGGGAAAUCUUGCACAGUGGGGGGACGCCUGAUGCAGCAGCGCCGCGUGCGGAAUGCCGGCCUUCGGGUUAUAAACCGCUUUCGCCUGAGACGAAGCGUGAGUGACGGUAAUGAGUAAAGAAGCACCGGCUAACUACGUG
rnacentral:rRNA from 1 species